GAGGGUACAGCUCAGUGGUAGAGCGUGUGCUUAGCAUGCAUGAGGUCCUGGUUCAGUCCCCAGUACCUCUA
rnacentral:tRNA from 1 species